GAUACCACCAGGUGGAUAAUCUCUUAAUGCAAAUAUAUGUUUAUUGGCAAAAGCUAAAACUGUUUUUUUGCCAAAUAACAAGGGAUACUUUCAAUUUGGCUUUCUCUCUUUCUUCUCAAUCAAGACACAUGUGGUUUAUCCCAUUUCUGACUGAGGAGAAGAAGCGGGAGUGCAGGGAGCAGAGAUGGUGUUGAAGCAUUUUUAAAAACAUUUUCUGAUUAGGAGGCAGACUGUAAAAUGUGCUCAUCUGAUUGGAUUCACUCAUCCUCUUAUCUCCCUUGUUCCAAAUGAUGGUGGACUGUAAUAAGACUGAAGAAAACUGCAUAAAGUUCUGUUAUGUUCCUCAGCUGUCAGGACAUUGUAGUCCUAUAUUCAGGGGAUGGAAUACUUUGGGUAUGUGAAAUGAGUGGUCCCGAGUUGAGGCUGGAGUGGCAGUUGGGAUCCCACUGGAGGCAGGUGGAAAAAGAAGAUGGAGGCCGCCAUGUGGCCCAGUCAGCUCAGCAGUAGGUCGUCAAGAUGUAUGAAGAAAGGAAUCAGCAGAUUAGAGGAGCUAUCUUCUUUUGGCUGGGAGUCCCUGAAAUUGUUGCACAAAAUCUGUCAUCUCUUAUUUGGCAGAGGAUUCAUGUUAAUUCCACCAUUUUAAUUUGGUAACACAGAGCAAAGGUUAAAUGAAGCAGAAACUUAACAGGUGUGCACAGAACUUCAAAGACAGCAGCAGCAUUUACAGCUUAGA